GUUGAUGGGACAGAAAUGCCAACAGCAACUGGAAAUUACCCCCUUUUAUUUAAAGCUCAUAUUAAAUUCGUUCCUUGGCAGAUGCAGACAUUACCCAGCUGGAAGCCUCUCCUAGUCUGAAGUUCUGGCGUGUCAGCCAAGCCGAUCUGGAGUUGAGUCAUUGCUAACUCCAAAAUCGAAGUGACAGCCGUGGUCGCCGUGUCUUGUGGCAGCACCAUGCACAACUCCACUGGCUGCAGAGGUCAGAGCCUGCCCGAGCACGCACGGGGAUGAUGGGAUGAGGGCAUUCGUGGGCUGAAGAUUUCACUUGUGCAGCCAGGAUUUGGAAAGCACUGCUAUUCCUGUUGUGCACAAAGGGAUGGAGAGGUGCAGUAAGUCAACCCAGGUUCUGCAUGGUCCAUCCAUGGCCACAAAGGACUCAUGGCAGGGGAGGAUGCAAAGCUGGGUCUUCUAGGUCCCAGCGCAGAGACUUACUUUAAAAAAAAACCACCCACCCCCACCUCUGACUGAAAGCAAAGAAAGAAAUUAAUGUUAAGUUUCAGAUGGCAUAGUUUUGGGGCUGAAGUCUAGUAUCAGAGAAGGGUUCGUGGGAUCCAGGAAACAGCAGUAUUAGUAGUCAGAUAAUUAACCAGCUGUUUUGAUGAUCCUUUUCGAGGGCAUUCUGGCCAAGGUCUGCUAACUGGUUUCUCUGUUAUAUCUAUUUGCAUGUCCAUCCUCUCCAUCUGCCUAUAGGGUUUCCAGGCUGCUCAUCACCCCCGAUACCAUAAUGUCUAUGUGCCUCCCAAUAGCACCAGGCAAAUAAAACACCUGCAGGCAUGACUGCUUCACGAGAAGUCAAAGUGGAUCCUGCUCCAGGCAGUCCAGGUGUCCUUCUUCAGGUCAAACGCAUCCUAUGAGCACUGCACCAAACUGUGCCCAAAUUGCCCCGAGAGCAUCAAUGUUCUAUCUCAGCAAGCCCUGCUUGUUAGGUGAAUGACGAUGAUCAUGCAGCUCUGGCACGCUGGCUUUGCACCUGCCUGGGAUGGAGCAUCCAUCCAGGCAGCCCUUGGAGGGCUAUGGGCCCCUUGGGUUGGGUAUUUGGGAGGCUUUGGCAUGCACCAGCCAUGGCAUAAGGCUGGAUCUGGCGAUGGUCACUGGCCUCUUGGGCAACUCUUCCCACUCCCUGGUUCCUCUCCUUGCUCUUGCCCAGGGCUAAUGCUUGAAGUAGGCUCCGAGGAGGAAAACCAGCCCAGCUCAAAGGGCUUUAGAGAAAGGAAAAAGCACAUCAAGGGAAGA